rnacentral:rRNA from 1 species
AGUGAACGCUGGCGGUAGGCCUAACACAUGCAAGUCGAACGGCAGCACAGUAAGAGCUUGCUCUUACGGGUGGCGAGUGGCGGACGGGUGAGGAAUACAUCGGAAUCUACUUUUUCGUGGGGGAUAACGUAGGGAAACUUACGCUAAUACCGCAUACGACCUACGGGUGAAAGCAGGGGAUAUUCGGACCUUGCGCGAUUGAAUGAGCCGAUGUCGGAUUAGCUAGUUGGCGGGGUAAAGGCCCACCAAGGCGACGAUACGUAGCUGGUCGGAGAGGAUGAUCAGCCACACUGGAACUGAGACACGGUCCAGACUCCUACGGGAGGCAGCAGUGGGGAAUAUUGGACAAUGGGCGCAAGCCUGAUCCAGCCAUACCGCGUGUGUGAAGAAGGCCUUCGGUUUGUAAAGCCCUUUUGUUGGGAAAGAAAAGCAGCAGGUUAAUACCCCGCUGUUCUGACGGUACCCAAAGAAUAAGCACCGGCUAACUUCGUG